UGAGCCCCCAACCUGUGGGAUCUGACGCUAUCUUCAGGUUCCUGUGAUGUACAGAUACUCAAUUUGUACGUUCUUAUUUCCUCCACUGCUGCAAAUAUUCUAAGACUGAAAUAGCACAUGAUGGCAAAGAAAAUUGGACAUCCAGGAAGGAUCCUCUAGGACAACAUCACUUGCUUCAGGAAGGAGUCAGGCAACUCCCAAUGUGGCAAAGAAGUUGAUAGCAUCCAAUGGAAGGGCUAUGCCCAUAUGCCUUUAGCACAUGGCCUGCAGGCAAAUGCCUAAUCUUUGAUAGCAAAUAUUUAAGAAUGCCUUGCAGGCUUCACAUGACGCCACCCCAUAGUGGUACCCGGAGGCGAUGUCACCGCACACCAAACACAGUCUCUUGGG